GAAAGCCUGACGGAGCAACRCCGCGUGAGGGAGGAAGGCYUGUGGGUUGUAAACCYCUUUUCUCAGGGAAGAAGWUCUGACGGUACCUGAGGAAUCAGCAUCGGCUAACUCCGUGCCAGCAGCCGCGGUAAGACGGAGGAUGCAAGCGUUAUCCGGAAUUAUUGGGCGUAAAGCGUYCGUAGGCGGUUCAKAAAGUCUGCUGUUAAAGCUCACAGCUCAACUGUGAAUCGGCAGUGGAAACUUCUGRRCUAGAGARUGGUAGGGGUARAGGGAAUUCCUAGUGUAGCGGUGAAAUGCGUAGAUAUUAGGAAGAACACCAGUGGCGAAG
rnacentral:rRNA from 1 species